GGUAGAAUGGCUGAGUGAAGCAUUAGACUGUAAAUCUAAAGACAGAGGUUUAAUAUCCCUCUUUUUACCA
rnacentral:tRNA from 2 species